rnacentral:lncRNA from 1 species
GGAAGGGGCAGCCGGCUCCGGAAGCCUGGGGAGCGCGACUCGGACCCUGGCCAAGGGACCGGCCAUGGGAGCCGCCUCGGCUGGCCGGCUGGGUUCUGGGGCUCCGACACCAGGGGCCCUAAACAGCACACUCGGCUGGUGUGUCAUGGUCUGUACCUACGUACAUGUCCCCCAAGAGCCUAGAGCUCAGCAGCGGGACCUUCAGAAGCUGACUGGGCUGCGAAGGCUCAGAGCUGACGGUCUAGGAGGCGGGGCCUGGCCGGAGGAGGUGGUCACCGGGGCGGGGCCUGGGAGGGGGUCUCCCAGGCUCCCCCCUCUCGACUUCCUGUUCCCCUCGCGGUGAGCUGCGCUCCUCUGCCAGGCCCCUCCGCCUCGCUUCUCUGCCAUGGACUGUGGGCUGAAGCGGGAGCCUGAAUAACCUCUCCUGUAAGUUAGAGGUGGCGGGUGUUGUGUCCCAGCGACGGGAAGGUGACUAGGACGGGCGUAGAACUCAGGCCCCAGUGCACCCGCCGGCUGGACACCUUGGGGAAAGGACUGGAGCGCCCUGUCCCCCGCUGGAUGCCAUUCAUUCCCCGUCCUGAUAGGCACGAACUUAGGAUCCUCCUCCCUCAGCCUCCCAGAGUGCUGGGAUGACAGCCAGGGGACUUGGACCCACUUCAUGAGCAUGGGAACCUCUGGUCUACAGCAGAACUCCUGUGAAACCGUGGGUUUUUGCUGUGUGGUCUACACCGCUGGCUGUGAGUCCAACAUCCAUGCUCCCCUCUGGCUUUACUAAUAAAACCUAAUUCUGUUCAGAACAGAACAGUGGCACCGGUCUACACUCU